UACAGGUGUACGGAGCACACAAACGUCAAAGACGUCAUAAAAAUGCAAAAUUUUCAUGAAAAAUAGUUUAUGGUAAUCAAAUGUUUUUCUUAUUCAUCACAUUGUGUGCCCUAUAAAAUUCUGCAUACAUUGUUGAUGUCCUGUUUCUGAUUUACAAAACUCAUUUGAUAAUAUUUUCUCUACAGGACCUAUAGACUGUAUGGUGUAGCUAACUGUGAGGUGCGUAAGAUGCAACGUAUUCAAAACAUAUAGGCAAAAGUUGUCCUUAACAAGAUGAAAUUUGACAGUUCUAAACAAGCAUUGUAUCACUAACAUUGGUUGCCGGUGAAAGCAAGAAUUGAGUUUAAGAUACUUUCUUUCAUGUAUAGCUGUCACACUGGCAGAGCACCUCUGUAUUUAACAGAAUUGCUUACAGAGUAUAUUCCUAGUAGACAAGGUUUGAGACCGUCUGAAAAUUCCGAAUGUCGUUAUGUUGUUCCAAACAACAAGUGCAAAACAUUCAAUGAUAGAAGUUUCUGUACUAUCCGUCCAAACCUUUGGAAUGGACUGCCGUUAGAACUACACAAAAGUAAAUCAUUUGACACAUUCAAAAAAAUCUUAAGACACUGUAUUUCAGAGAUUUCGCGGCAUUGUUUUAAUUUUUUUUUGAUAACUGUUGAUUAUGCAAAAAACAGCAGAUGAUAGUUCUUAAAUUUUGUAAAAGGUUUAACAUUUCAACAUUUAUAUUUCCAGGGUUUGUUUAAUUAAACGCACUUGUUGGUAAGGCUCUAUGGGUAGGGUUGUGUGAAAUAUUUCUUUCUUAAAUAGUAUAUGAUGGCACCAUUAACCGGGGGGUUUGAACCUCUAUAUGCAGCUCGUCUGGGCAUACCAUGGGAUGCUUUAAGCACCCGGUAUUCGCAAUAGGGGUAAAAUGACCUCAAGGGGAGGGGUGCAGUCAUGACUGUUUGUUACAAUAAGGCUGUUAUUAUUAUUAUUAUUGUCAUUUUUAAUAUUGUUAUAAUAAUAAUUAUUGUUAUUAUUAUGUACAACGCCACUUAAUAUACCAUUGUAUAAAAAUAGGCGUUUAAUCAAAAUAUUAAGUUUCAGUUUCUGUUUUACUACAAUUAUUUUACAUGAAAAUGCUUCCUGACACUUGUUGUUUUUACUAAAUUAUCGUAAAUAUUUAGAUCCUGUGUAGAUAUUAUCAUAAAGAUAUACUUAAAUUACAUAAGUGGGAACUUGGUGAAAGUACUGACAAUGCAAUUUAAUCUAAUAACAUGUACAACAAUAACCGUCUAUUGCACCCAAACAAGAGGACCACGAUGACCAUGAUAUCAGGGCUCUAAAUCGCUCGUCUGAGUUAUAGAUCCACUACAUGUCAUCGCUGAGCAGAAAUAGGUACAUAUGAGAAUGUCAGGGAUAAAAAAAAGUCACCUGUAGGAAAAAAAGUCAUGGAGAAAAAAAAGUCACUGGAAAAAGUCACAACAGGGGCAGAUGAUCGGGAUAUGUAUCUGUUUAACUUGAACUGACUCCGUGAACAGCACUGAAGUAAGUAAAUAAGUAAGUAGCGAGUGAAUUUUUAGUAAGUAAGGCGUACGGUCCUCUAUCAACAUACAUAGAGCUUGAGAGUUUAUUAUAUUUCAUUCCAUCAGGCUAAGAAGCUCACGAGGACAAUCAUCGCAUGAUAACAAUAUGACGAACUGUGAUAUUAACAAAUAAUAUUCGAAGCUUAAUGAUAAAUGUUCUAAAUACAUACAUACACAUACACUCAUUCAAUCAAAGGCGUAUAUUCAUAACAAAAAUGAUAAUGACUCUUGUGAUAUCAAUUUUUCUUAUAUGUAUGAAAUAUGGGCCAAUCAAAUGAUUGCAUUUGAGAAGGGCAUACAAUGCAACAAUUAUAGACUUAUGUUUUGCAGACUGCGUCCUCGGUCAAUAUCAUUUUUACAGGCCCGUAAAAACACAUAUUGACUUCAACAUAAGUCAAUAACUGUAUAAUUUGUGAGGCAGCAGAGUAUAUGCAUUUAGGUAUUGAAGUAGAGCAUAAAAAGUGUUUGAUUCGUAGAAGACAGCAGAGAACUGAGAUGCAUCUUUAUAAUGUGUUUUUUUUUAACUUGUAUUUUGCAAUUAUUAGUUUUGUCAGCUGGAACACCUCUUUAUCUGCAAAAAAAUCUAUUUCCUAAUUCUGUAAGAAUACGUGUUUGUCUGGUGACAUGAUAGCGUUUUAGAUGUGAUUGGACGGUGAUAUAAACAAAGCUUUUGUCUAUUGUGGAUUUGUAGCUAUAUAGUUCCUUAGUAGCAGUCAGUAAUGACGUCAUUUUAUGAAAAGACUGUAUAACGUAAGUUAUGGUAGCAAAGAAAUAUCGUCAGCAAACAUGUCUGUUGACUCGCUUUUAAAAAGUAGUCAUAAGUCAUUGUUGGAAGAGGCUCGAGUGUAGUGUCAUGUGAUUAGUAACUUCAAAAUGUCUCGUAAAAACAAAUAAUUUGUGUGUUACUGGAUUAGCGCCGUUUUUCCCAACUGAACGGUUGGCACUUAACCUAACAAGAGUUCCUUGAUUCUGUACCAUUACUAACUGUUCUCCGCAAGUUACUACCACCUUCUUCAUAUGAAUCAGAGUUGGAGGACAAAUAAUACAAUUACGUAACAUCUUAUCUUGUUUAUAACAUACGGCGGUCAGUUAGUUUAACCGAUGUUCCUGGCUUUAAGCCGGUUUUCCGCAACCAACCAACAACUUCUCCAUAAAACUUGAGAGGUGGUUGACAAAUGGUCCUGUACGUUUUUCUCGUAAGUUAAUCAUAGCGGGGAGAGGCCUCGCUCAGAAUUAUGAAUCUGAUACUUCCGCAUUGGAAACCAAUAAGUUUUGUGUGUGUGUGUGUGUGUGUGUGUGUGCGUGCGUGCGUGCAUGCGCGCGUGUGGUGUGUGGGUCUGGUUGUUAAGGUGGCAGAAGCUCAAUCUGGAGGCUGCGGCCUAGAGCCCCACUGGGAUCACAACCAUGCCUUCUAAUAGACACCACUAACGCGGACUCAAAUACCAACACCAAGGUUGAAGCAAUCUCAAGAUAAUGAGCCGAACUUGUACAGUAACUGUAUAUUUUCUAGUUAAUUAAAUACAUACAUAUUUGAAUGAUAUAAACUUUAAAUCGAACUAGUCUUAUAACUUUGAAUGAACAAUAAUUAUAAAAAUGAUGUUGGUGGUGAUGAUGAUGAUAAUGAUGAUGAUGAUAAUAAUGAUGAUGAUGAAUUUGCUUUACUUUUUUAUGUUUACACACUUCAAUAAUUCUGUCUAACCAAGAUGCGCUGUUCAAGAGGCAAUAAAGUGUAGAGCCUUGUUUACCUAGGUUAGCAGGUUUAUCGAUAUUAUAAUGGAAAGGGAAACAACUACAACGGCGCAGAAGGAAAAAAAAUCAAUUCCGACAAGAGUUGUGGGUUCUCGUAUAUUUUGCGCUCAAUGUUGGUGAUGAAUUUCUUUGUAGUAUUUACAUUAUUUUGAUAUAUACGAGUGCACCAAUAAAGCUAUAAUGUUAAGUAAAUUCAAACGUUUGUUUAAUGUGAAAAAAGCUUAAGGACAACAUUGUCAUCAUACUGCUAUAUUUGUUGUUCAUUUUAUUUUAUUUCUUUAUUUUGUAACUAUAAUGCUUAAAACUAUAUUUAUUUAGAGUAAUAUUAUUAGACUUUUUACUCUAUAAAAGAAAAAAUGAAAUAGAUAUUUACUUAUUUAAGAAUAAGUAUUGGCAGCUAAAAUAACUCUCAAUAUAGAUUUAUUUUUUACAGCCAUUUGAAUUGUUCGUGUAUACCAGAAGUGACAUUCAAAGAUUCAGGAUACGUCAGCUUGUGAUGCUGGUUGUCUACACCACUUUCCAUUUUAAAUAUCUCUGUUUGUCUCCAUGUCAGUGUUUGUGCUGUGAAUGGGAGGACAAAAUGCAUAUAAAUGAAGAGGUUGCUAAUCAGCGAUUAGAAUUCCAUGCUGAAUGUAUAAAUGGUCUCGAGUGCAAGAUGUAUGAAAAUGCAAUGAAAAUUAAUAUUCAGAACCAUCAGUAUGUUUUAAACCUUGUUGAAACUCAUUUGAAAGCAUAGAGCAGUCUCAUACACAUGCUUAUUGCACGUACCUGUAAGGGAUAAAUGUGACAGCUAGUUACCAUGGUGAUACUGGGGAGGGUACUUUAACAGAAGUGAGACCAGACAGGUGCUCCUUUUCGCCAGUGUUGCCGAGGUUGUACAAAAGAAAUGUGACGUCAUCAUCAUAAAUCGCCGGCAUGCAGUUUGAUGGCUUCUACUUUUCAGAUUUUAUUUUCUUACUUAAUAUUCGUAAACUGCUUAACGAGACGUGUUAUAUCAUUGUAAUUUAUUUAUCUGCUAUCGUUAUAAAGAAACUGCUUGGUACUGUACUGUGGAUUUAUAUCAAACGGAUUUCAAUAACACCCGCAGUUAUUAAAAAGGGAGAAAAUCUUUCAUGGGACCACCCACGAGGUAGCAAAAUCCCCAAGGGAAAACAAAUCUAAUUGAGACGCCAGCAAUAAAAAGGUGUGUUGUUAUGUGCUGAUAACAUUAAAUUUACUAACACGACAUUUAUUUAAAAUACUGCAUAACAUACAUGCCAGCAGAUUCACCUGCUGUAUGCUUUGUAGUGUGUAUUAUGUUCAAAUAUUGUAUAAAUUAAGGUAUUAAUAUGAAAACAUUUCGUGCAUUUUGUUUUAAAACGUCUAUUUGUUACACAUGUAACUGUGGUAUUAUGCUUUAAUAAUGAAGCAUUGUUUGAUCUUUUUUGCGUUUUAAUUUGUUUUAAAAAUUGGAAAAAAUGUAAUAAUUUUAACCAUUUUUGUUGAGCUAUCGAUACAUGCAGUUAAAUAAUAUGUAUUGUUGAUAAAAGGAUAUACACCUAAAUAGUUUUAAUAUACUGACAAUGUCUUAUAAAUCUGUUUAAGCAAAUAAUUUAUUUGCUUGUUUUGUUUGGUAUUUAAAGUAACGUCCACACAGUUUAUAAACAAAGGGAUUUCCCAGGCAAUACCCUCUACCCUGCCAUAAUGUCAAAGAUGGUUAUGCCCUUUAGUAGAUCUAUUCAGUUUAUGAAAGCCACACGAUGGCUCCCUCAUUUCAAAGAUUUCUUCAUCCCAAGUAUUGUGUAUCAGGGUUUCGAACACAGUGGUUCGGGAAAGGUAUAUUUAAAGUCAUCGAUCUUGAACGUUUCGGACUAGAAGCUGCUAAUAAAAAAUACGUUAAUUUAAAUACAUAACAUUUAGUCAAAAAUAAGCGCGAAAUGCACAAUGAAAGAAUAGACAAUGCUUAGAUAGUUCAGACGCAGCCAUGGCCUCAUGGAUAAGCACCUGCCCAGCAACCGAGAGGUCGAAGGUCAAGUCCUGACAGACGCGGUCUUAUUUCUGAAGAGAAACCGGUUGGGGAACAGCUAGUUAAUUAAAUGAUGGUUACCGAUUUCCUACCUGCCAGGCUCUUGAAUGUAAAAAUACACUCAAAAAUGUUAAAACGCUACAUAAAACUUAAAGAAAGUGUUUUAGUAUAAAGGUAUAGGUCUUGUUUAGUAUAGUGUCACCCCUAUUGAAAGGGCCAGCUAAUUUAACCACUCUGCCACGGUGUAUUUUUAUCAAAUGUGUUAAAUGAAUGCGGUUGUCAAACUUGUUUUGUGCUACAUAAAGUGUGACUACCACUCAUAAAACUCUAAUUAGGAUUAUUUUCUUUCGGAUAUACAAAUAUUCGAUUGUCGCAAAGAAAUAUGAAAUAUCCGUAAUCUUGUGAUAUCGUUAAAUAAUAAGCAUGUUGGUCAGGAUUUGUUCAGGAUUUCCAAUUAUAAACGUUAGAGUUGAUUGUUACGUUGCAAAACGCUCUGUACAUGACGUUGACGUAAUUGAAAACGUUGAUAUUGAUGUAACAACAGCUGUCUUAAAUCUCAAUCUGCCCAUAACUUGUUCGUAUGGCUGAAAUGGACUUUAAGUGUUUUUGUAUUUGCUACCUGGUGAAAUGCAGUAUAAACUAUUAUUACUUUGAAGUACGAGUAAGAUUGCAAAGCUUCUACUGUGGGAUCGUAUCAGCUGUUUAACUGUUGAGUCUAUAAUAAGAUAUGAUGUUUAUUUUGAUUAUAUGAAAUCUCGUCAGGUUGUUAUUUUAUUUCUCCAUUUUAUGUAUGGCUACACUGGUUGGAUACUGUGCUGCCUCAUAAUGUGUGAUUUAUGUUAGUGGACUUCUUCAUAUCCAGUUCCAGCCUCUUUCAGCAUUUUCGGAAUGCCAUACGCGCAUUCACCAAAUUAGGUCCGAAAAAUGCCGAAUUGCCUUUUUCUUCUCCUUAUUUUUUUAGAAAGUCAGUUGUGAUUAAAAAUGUGCAUAAACUACCGACAAUAAAUUUUUUGUGAAAGUAAGAACAAGUUAUAAAAAUAAAUUUAAAAUGGGAAAUAAUCCCAUUUUUAAACAAGAGAAAAUCUCCAGCAGGCGAACUAUCCCAAGGGAGAUCGCAAGUAUCCCAUUUGGUGGGAUUUUUUCAAAACGCUUAUUGUCAUAUUUAGAAUAGAAACAACACAAAAUUAAAGAGUAAGAAUACUUACCAUUGAUACAUUGAAUUUUAAAACUGUUAUUAACACCCGCAGUUCUUAAGAUGGGAGAAAACCUCCCAUAGGACCACUCACGGCAAAAUCCCAAUGGGAAAUAAAAAAUCUCCCAUGGGAGGACAGACUAUUAAAUCGUCAAAGAAAUUCAUUUUUUUUUGAUAUUUGUAAAAGGAAAAAGUGCAAUUCUUUAUUGUUACAUGUCAAAAUAAAUUAAAGAAAUGUCAAAAACAAAUUGAGACUAAGUUUUGAGAAAUUGUCGGGUUUGCAAGCUAAAUCCGGAGACAGUUUUUACGAGUGUACAUAAGUCAAGAGCCAUUAUAGUAUCGACUCACUGUUAAACCCAUUUUACUAGUUUAGACACCUGUGAAAAAAGAGUGUGUUGUUAUGUGCUCUCAGUUAUAACAUAAAUAUUACGAACAUAACAUUUUUUAAAGUACUGCAUAACAUAAUAGAUGGAAGAAGAUUCACCUGCUGUAUGCUUUGUAGCGCGUAUUAGAUUUAGAUAUUGUAUAAACUAAGGUAUUAAUUUGAAAACAUUUGGUGCAUUUUGGUUAGAUAUACAAGGUCUUUUUGUAAUAUAUGUACAUCUUUUAUUAUGCUUUAACAUUUGAACAUUUUUGAUCGUUUUUGUGUUUUAAUUUGUUUUCAUAAUAAUUAUUGCAAAUAUUGUUAUUAUAUAUUUUUUGUUUGUAACUGGACAAUUGGUCAGUCAAUGAAAACAUGAUUUUAUUACACUGACAAUGUCUAAUACUAGUAAUUUAAUA